ACGAACGCUGGCGGCGUGCUUAACACAUGCAAGUCGAACGGAAAGGCCCUGCUUUUGUGGGGUGCUCGAGUGGCGAACGGGUGAGUAACACGUGAGUAACCUGCCCUUGACUUUGGGAUAACUUCAGGAAACUGGGGCUAAUACCGGAUAGGAGCUCCUGCUGCAUGGUGGGGGUUGGAAAGUUUCGGCGGUUGGGGAUGGACUCGCGGCUUAUCAGCUUGUUGGUGGGGUAGUGGCUUACCAAGGCUUUGACGGGUAGCCGGCCUGAGAGGGUGACCGGCCACAUGGGGACGAGGAAACGGCCCAGCCCCCUAGGGGAGGCAGGAGGGGGGAAGUUGGAACAAUGGGCGGAAGCCUAAGGCAGAAACGCCGGGUGGGGGAAAAGGGCCUUGGGGUUUAAAACCGCUUUCCCCUGUGACGAAGGGGGGGUGACGGUAAUGGGAAAAGAAGCACCGGCUAACUACGU
rnacentral:rRNA from 1 species